rnacentral:rRNA from 1 species
UACAGAGGAGCCAAGCGUUGUCCGGAUUGACUGGGCGUAAAGCGCACGCAGGCGGAUCUGCGCGUGGGGUGUGAAAUCUGGCCGCUUAACGGCCAGGCGCCAUCCCAUACGGCAGGCCUGGAGCCUUGCAGAGGUCGGUGGAAUUGCCGGUGUAGUGGUGAAAUGCGUAGAGAUCGGCAGGAACACCCAGGGGGAAACCAGCCGACUGGGCAAGCGCUGACGCUGAGGUGCGAGAGCGUGGGGAGCGAACCGG